rnacentral:rRNA from 1 species
UAGGGGGUGACCUGCGGAGGGAUCAUUACCGAGUUUACAACUCCCAAACCCCUGUGAACAUACCAUAUUGGUUGCCUCGGCGGUGCCUGUUUCGGCAGCCCGCCAGAGGACCCAAACCCUAGAUUACAUUAAAGCAUUUUCUGAGUCAAUGAUUAAAUCAAUCAAAACUUUCAACAACGGAUCUCUUGGUUCUGGCAUCGAUGAAGAACGCAGCGAAAUGCGAUAAGUAAUGUGAAUUGCAGAAUUCAGUGAAUCAUCGAAUCUUUGAACGCACAUUGCGCCCGCCAGUAUUCUGGCGGGCAUGCCUGUCCGAGCGUCAUUUCAACCCUCAAGCCCCCGGGCUUGGUGUUGGAGAUCGGCGAGCCCCCCGGGGCGCGCCGUCUCCCAAAUAUAGUGGCGGUCCCGCUGUAGCUUCCUCUGCGUAGUAGCACACCUCGCACUGGGAAACAGCGUGGCCACGCCGUAAAACCCCCCACUUCUGAAAGGUGACCUCGGAUCAGGUAGGAAUACCCGCUGAACUUAAGCAUAUCAUAGGCCGGGAG